ensembl:lncRNA
GAGUAGACUCCGGGAGUUGGUGAUGGACAGGGAGGCCUGGCGUGCUGCAGUCCAUGGGGUCACAAAGAGCUGGACAUGGCUGAGUGGCUGAACUGAACUGAACUGAAGGAGUAAUGUAUACAGAAAUAGAAAUAGAAUGUAUACAUGAAUCUUAUAUACUGUUAUAAACCAAUGUUACCUCAAUAAUAAAUUAAAAUGAAAAAAAGAAGCAGGUGGACUAGAAGGACAUCAGUUCAGUUACUGGAGGUUUAUUUCAUACCAGGCAUGAUUGUAAGCAGUUCUAGGUGCUAACGGAUUUAGUCCUUGUAACAAUCUGAAGAGGAGGCAAUAUUGUUGGGAGACAUGGCUCCCUGGGAAGAUAGGGAUUGUUUCUUCCCCAGAGCAGAGGCAGGUUUGUUUACUUUAUUUUUCUAUUAUAAUAAAGGAUAAUGUCCCCUGCCAGACCAAAGUUUUGGCAGAUUUGCUCACAGCCAUUUCAAGAGUUAGGAUUCUUCAGCUCAGGGUUUUCAGCUGUGAUGCAAAUGCCCCACGUGUGCAGCAUCUACCUGGCUUUGCAUCGCCUCACCCUGGGGAUCUUGCAGGAUAAGGGGAACCAAUUCAAACAUGAAGUUCAUGUCAUCUGCUGUGCUGGGAAUGAUAGCACCCUUUUCCUCUGACCUGAGAGUCUUGUGUCUUCUGCCAGCAUCCAUGGAAGAGAGGCAAGCUGGCUGUUUCUUAGAUGAAGGGAUAUCACAAAUACAGCAAGCUUGGAAGCAAUAAUGUAAAGAUGUCAGAGCCGAAUGUCCUCAAGAAUAAUCAGCAGGAGAGGAAGCAACCUGACUGUCACUCAUUGAUCUGGAGCAUCUACCAUGGACUUUAAAUGAAUGAAAAAAGCACUUUGAUUGUGUUUGAUUUGUUACCUGUUGCAUGUGUUUUUGUAGCACUUCAGCCUAUCCUGACUAAUACAGAGGCAUUCUACAAACGGAAUUGAAAUAGAGACUUUACCAACUAGUGUAGCACUAAACUGCUCAUGCGAAGAG